rnacentral:lncRNA from 1 species
AAACCCCAGAGUGAGACUGUGCAGCCCCGGUCUCACAGUCCUGUCCACUCUCCCGUCUUUUCUCUUGCAGGAGAGUUUGCAGCUGCUGGAAAACUGGGAAAGGUCGUUCAGUUCCAAGCCCCUGCCAUGGACACCUUCCUUGGGCCAGGUCGUUCCAAGAUCCAUCCAACACGGCCAGCAAGAGGAGCAGCACUACUGCGGUGUCACCGCUUUUGGGGACAGCUCAGCUGGAGCAGGGACAUCGAUGGCACUCUGCUCCCUUGUCUGGACCCAUUUUCCCCCUGAUUCUGCCAGUGCAAAAGAGAUCUGGGAGGACCUUGGGAAGGUGUUUUGGUAAGGAAUGUUCAGACUCUGUCGUGUGCUGCAGCCUCUCCCCUGACCCUCAGUGAGCCCCAGCCCCACCAACAAGUUGCAGUGGAAAGAAACAAAGGCAGUUCUCGCUUCAGAUUCUUCAGAGAUAGCAAUAUGUCAGGAGCCCCUGGAGAGGCCGAAAGUAAAUGAAUCAGUGCUAGAAAGUGAAGGAUAUCAUCCGUGCUGAAUGGUGAAAAGGAGUCCUGAACAGUAUCUUCAUUGAUUUUCCUGUAAUUGACACAGAGCUGGGCUCGCCGGAGGCUGCAGCAGGAGCGGGGAGGCCCAGGUACUGCUCCUGCCUCAAUUAGGGAGCUCAGGGCUGUGGGCAGCUCCAGAGGAGCCGCUGGGCUGGGAGCCCGUGUUUUCACUGGCCACAGGCUGCCCUGAAAGCUGCCACGAGGACAAGGGCAGCUUGGAAGGACGUGUCCCAGGCUGCCAGCAGCUUCCCAGCGGCCCUGGGAUAGCCCCGGCUGCACGGAGCCCUCGGCUGGUGAGAAACACCAGCCCUAAAGCCAGGAAAAUCCAAAAUCUGGUGAGAUGUGAGGCUGUGCAAGGAGCAAUGUGCCUUCUGUGUGGAACCUGUCAGCUGGGCAGUGGGACAGCCCCGCUGUGCAGGCAGCCAGGGGCGCGCUGUCCUGGGCAGAGCACGAGGGAUGGGUCCCACGGAGGAGGAGACACGGCCACUGCACGUGAGAGGAGCCAGGAGCAUCCAUCCACUUUCCAGCCCAGAGCAGGAACCAGGUCAGCUCAGAUCCAUCCAUCAGCUGGGAGAAGCGGGCCUGUUGUGAGCCCUUCUCAUUUAACAGCGUUUAGAAAAGCACCUGUUAUCAGAGAGGGAGUUUGGGCAGCAGCACUGGAGCCAAAAUCAGCCCAAUGGAGCAUCCCAAGUGCUCCCUGCUGGGACACAGACGUCAUUAAGCCGUGUCUCUGGUAAUUAAACAGCUGCUGCACCACACCUACAGUCAGAUUUGUUACUGGGGCACAGCAGGGACACACAUGGGUGCUGCUGGGUGUCCAAAUUCCAUUUUAUAUCUGAGUCUCACAUCCCCCAGCUGGCUGUGACCAGAGCACUGGGACCAAACACAAAACUUCUGCUCUUUUUGACUCUUCUCACUCCUGGAUUCCUCAGUCUCCUCUGAGCUCAGCUCCUUUGGAAUAUUCCCUCACAGGGAGCUGCGUUUACCUCAGUUCUCCGGGUCCAAAGCUCGUUAGAUCUUGUUUCUCGUGUUAAUUAGGAUGUCAUCCCAAAACCUGGCAGGUCUCUCCAGUCUUCCUGCACAACUUCAAUUCACCAUAACUUGGCUCACUUUGGUUCUGAAGGCACAAAAUGGCUGUUUCAUCUUUAUAUUCAUCUUUAGAUUCGUUUUUAUCCAAUUAAUAUAGACACGUGUACUGUUUUUAUAUAUUAACAAAUUCGUUUUUUAUAUCUACUUAUGUAAUUAAAACUGUGACCAACUUUCCACCAACCACUCUUUGUGCUCCUAAAAACUGCAGAAUCAUGGAGAGGAAGGAAGAAGGAGAGGUAAAAACCACACUUUUCCCCUCUGUCUUUACUCCAUGUAUUAAACACUCUAAAAUCUGUAUUUUUUACUUUGGUGACAUAUUAAACAUUCUACUACUUUCCACUUAAUUUUUUCUAAAUCCUGGUUUACCCGGGGAUAUUUGGAAGCCUUUCUGUCAGUGACAAAUAGGAUUAAUCCCUUUUUGGAGAACAGGACAAAGGGAGAAAUGUUUCUCCAUUUCUGGAUUCUUACAUCUCCUCCUGUCGGGAUUUUUUCCCAGCUCCUUCCUGGGCGAUGCUGCUGUCCUUUUUGAGGGGAGGAGCUCGUUUUGUGCCUGGCAGAGCCCGGGGCCGGCUGCUUUUGGCUGUGGCUGUGGCAGGAGGUCAGGGCACGGCUGCAGUGAUUCCCAGGCAGGGAUCAAUAGGCACGCUG